rnacentral:rRNA from 1 species
UCCGGAGGGGGCUAUCGUUGUUCGGAAUUACUGGGCGUAAAGCGCACGUAGGCAGAUUGUUAAGUCGGGGGUGAAAUCCCGGGGCUCAACCCCGGAAUGGCCUCCGAUACUGGCAAUCUUGAGGUCGGGAGAGGUGAGUGGAAUGGCGAGUGUAGAGGUGAAAUUCGUAGAUAUUCGCCGGAACACCAGUGGCGAAGGCGGCUCACUGGCCCGAUACUGACGCUGAGGUGCGACAGCGUGGGGAGUAAACAGG